UACGUAGGCUGCAAGCGUUGUCCGGAUUUAUUGGGUUUAAAGGGUGCGUAGGUGGCUGAUUAAGUCAUGGGUGAAAGCCCGCAGCUCAACUGUGGAAUUGCCUGUGAUACUGAUUAGCUUGAGUGCGGUUGAGGCAGCUGGAAGUGGUGGUGUAGCGGUGAAAUGCAUAGAUACCACCAGGAACACCGAUUGCGAAGGCAGGUUGCUAAGCCGUAACUGACACUGAGGCACGAAAGCGUGGGGAGAAAACAGG
rnacentral:rRNA from 1 species